GCCUGGAUAGCUCAGUUGGUUAGAGUGCGGUGCUGAUGCUGCUAAAGUUGCAGGUUCAUUCCCCGUAUGGGACA